rnacentral:piRNA from 1 species
UGAUAGGAUGCAAGCUGAGGUCGUGGC